AUGAACGCUAGCGGCAGGCCUAAUACAUGCAAGUCGAACGGGAUCCGAGGGUAGCUUGCUACCCGAGGUGAGAGUGGCGCACGGGUGCGUAACGCGUGAGCAACCUGCCCGUCCCAGGGGGAUAGCCCCUCGAAAGAGGGAUUAACACCGCAUGACGUUGAGAUGUGGCAUCACAUCACAACCAAAUAUUCAUAGGGGACGGAUGGGCUCGCGUGGCAUUAGCUUGUUGGUAAGGUAACGGCUUACCAAGGCAACGAUGCCUAGGGGCUCUGAGAGGAGAAUCCCCCACACUGGUACUGAGACACGGACCAGACUCCUACGGGAGGCAGCAGUAAGGAAUAUUGGUCAAUGGGCGAAAGCCUGAACCAGCCAUGCCGCGUGCAGGAAGACGGCCCUAUGGGUUGUAAACUGCUUUUGCACGGGAACAACCCCCCCGACGUGUCGGGGGCUGAGCGUACCGUGAGAAUAAGGAUCGGCUAACUCCGUGCCAGCAGCCGCGGUAAUACGGAGGAUCCAAGCGUUAUCCGGAUUUAUUGGGUUUAAAGGGUGCGUAGGCGGCGCGCUAAGUCAGUGGUGAAAGACGGUGGCUCAACCAUCGCAGUGCCGUUGAUACUGGCGCGCUUGAAUGCGGAUGAGGUAGGCGGAAUGUGGCAAGUAGCGGUGAAAUGCAUAGAUAUGCCACAGAACACCGAUUGCGAAGGCAGCUUACCAAGGCGCAAUUGACGCUGAGGCACGAAAGCGUGGGGAUCAAACAGGAUUAGAUACCCUGGUAGUCCACGCCCUAAACGAUGAUGACUCGAUGUUCGCGAUACACGGCGAGCGUCCAAGCGAAAGCGUUAAGUCAUCCACCUGGGGAGUACGCCCGC
rnacentral:rRNA from 1 species